rnacentral:rRNA from 1 species
UACGUAGGGUGCAAGCGUUGUCCGGAAUUAUUGGGCGUAAAGAGCUCGUAGGCGGUCUGUCACGUCGGCUGUGAAAACUCGGGGCUCAACCCCGAGCCUGCAGUCGAUACGGGCAGACUAGAGUGCUGUAGGGGAGACUGGAAUUCCUGGUGUAGCGGUGAAAUGCGCAGAUAUCAGGAGGAACACCCGUGGCUAAGGCGGCUCUCUAGUACGGUACUGACGCUGAGACGCGAAAGCGUGGGGAGCGAAC